CUAAACAAAGUGUUCUUCAGGGUGAAAAGAGUUUGAUAAAAGUCCAUCAGUGUUGUUGUAAUGUGAGCAGACUGAUGAAAGAAUGACAUGUUGACAGUGAAAGUUGCUCUCAACAGGAUGUUUCAGUUCCACUCCCCUCAUUAGUGAGAGUCAGGAGGUUUUUGUACAGCCAUGUAUACAAACUGAAUCACUGUGGUAUUCGGACAAGGCACCAAGCUGAUUGUGACGAGCUCCAGCCUCUCUCCUCCUGUCCUCACAGUCUUCCCUCCGUCCAGUGCUGAGCUCCAGUCCAACAAAGCCUCUCUGGUCUGUCUGUCCUCUCAGUCUGUGCCUUUUGCAGAUGUGAGCUGGUCUGCUGCUGGGAGUCCAGUGAGCAGUGGGAUCUCUACCAGCACGGCCGUUCAGCAACCAGACCAGACUUUCCAAAUCAGCAGCUAUCUGUCCAUCCAGACGUCAGACUGGAACAUGGACAAGGUCUACACAUGUCGAGUGUCUUUGGGCUCCCAGACUUCAGAGAAAACCAUCAACAAGUCCCACUGUUCCACUGAAGACCAGUAGAGGAGCAGAGGGACCAUUUCUAAUCUGCUUCUUGACUCUUUGUGCUGUUUGCUCAUUACAAGGUUCACAUCUUACAGUAUAUGUCUGCAUGCUUGUAAUACAUGUU